rnacentral:rRNA from 1 species
GAUGAACGCUGGCGGCGUGCUUAACACAUGCCAGUCGAACGAGAAAUGGAGACGGAAACCUUCGGGCGGAAGGCUUCAUUUCGAGUGGCGGACGGGUGAGUAACGCGUGGGUAACCUGCCUCAUACAGGGGGAUAACAGUUGGAAACGACUGUUAAUACCGCAUAAGACCACAGCACCGCAUGGUGCGGGGGUAAAAACUCCGGUGGUAUGAGAUGGACCCGCGUUCGAUUAGCCAGUUGGCGGGGUAACGGCCCACCAAAGCGACGAUCGAUAGCCGAUCUGAGAGGAUGACCGGCCACAUUGGGACUGAGACACGGCCCAAACUCCUACGGGAGGCAGCAGUGGGGAAUAUUGCACAAUGGGGGAAACCCUGAUGCAGCGACGCCGCGUGAGUGAAGAAGUACUUCGGGAUGUAAAGCUCUAUCAGCAGGGAAGAAAAUGACGGUACCUGAGGAAGAAGCCCCGGCUAACUACGUG